rnacentral:rRNA from 1 species
AAUCCAUAGGUUAAUGAGGCGAACCGGGGGAACUGAAACAUCUAAGUACCCCGAGGAAAAGAAAUCAACCGAGAUUCCCCCAGUAGCGGCGAGCGAACGGGGAGGAGCCCAGAGCCUGAAUCAGCAUGUGUGUUAGUGGAAGCGUCUGGAAAGGCGCGCGAUACAGGGUGACAGCCCCGUACACAAAAGCGCAUGUGUUGUGAGCUCGAUGAGUAGGGCGGGACACGUGGUAUCCUGUCUGAAUAUGGGGGGACCAUCCUCCAAGGCUAAAUACUCCUGACUGACCGAUAGUGAACCAGUACCGUGAGGGAAAGGCGAAAAGAACCCCGGCGAGGGGAGUGAAAAAGAACCUGAAACCGUGUACGUACAAGCAGUGGGAGCACAGGUUUACCUGUGUGACUGCGUACCUUUUGUAUAAUGGGUCAGCGACUUAUAUUCUGUAGCAAGGUUAACCGUAUAGGGGAGCCGGAGGGAAACCGAGUCUU